CCUACGGGAGGCAGCAGUAGGGAAUAUUGCUCAAUGGGGGAAACCCUGAAGCAGCAACGCCGCGUGGAGGAUGAAGGUUUUCGGAUUGUAAACUCCUUUUGUUAGAGAAGAUAAUGACGGUACCUAACGAAUAAGCACCGGCCAACUCCGUGCCAGCAGCCGCAGUAAUAUGGAGGGUGCAAGCGUGACUCGGAAUCACCGGGCGUAAAGGGCGCGUAGGCGGGAUAGCAAGUCCGGUGUUAAAUCCUAUGGCUUAACCAUAGAACUGCAGUUGAAACUGUUAUUCUAGAGUAUGGGAGAGGUAGGUGGAAUGCUUGGUGUAGGGGUAAAAUCCGUAGAGAUCGAGAGGAAUACUCAUUGCGAAGGCGACCUGCUAGAACAUAACUGACGCUGAUGCGCGAAAGCGUGGGGAGCAAACAGGAUUAGAUACCCGUGUAGUC
rnacentral:rRNA from 1 species